rnacentral:lncRNA from 1 species
ACCUCGUGGCAUCUUUCACGGGGUAGACCACACGCAGAGCUGGAGAAGGUGAUUACUUAUGCUGCAUGAUGUGAGGAGUGGGGAGGUCCCCAGCUCCUAAACCUAUCACCUUUUCUCCAUCCCACCUGCUUGUCACAGUGACCAAAGUCCACCUGCUUAGCUCUAUUCCUAUGGGCUGAAAAAGCCUUUUGGUCAUCAGGAGUUUCUUAUUAAGAGGCAUGUGUUCAAGGCUUUAUGAGCUAACACCAGUAGAGAGCAGACCACACUAGUGAGGAGGUGUGGAGAGGGGCGGCAGGGGGCCAAGGACGGCUUUGCUUCUCAACAGCUGUGCGGAAGACUGAACUUCGGUAUUGCAACUGGCAGAAGGGGACAUCCUGCUUCCAGAUGCACUGACAGCUUUCGUUCCACACUACCUUUUCCAAGAUGAUCGUCUGAUGAACAGCCUUGGAAGAUAGACAUAGUGUUUUCCUCUGGAGCGGAAGGCAAUUUUGUGUGUGUAUUUUUUUUUCAACUGAUGCCUGCACCUCACCCAAGUCCAUUAAGAAUCUCUGGAGUUGGAGCCCGGACAUCAACAUUAAACAAUCGCCACAAAACUUCCCAGGUGAUUCUCAUAUGCAGCUGGCGGUGAGAACAGCUGUUCUGUGUCAUGCUGCUAAAAUUCCAAUGUGUCUGCAUAUUACUCAGGAAUCUUGUCAACAUGCAGAUCGUGACUCGAGUCUGCACUAUUAUGAACCGUGUAAUUGCAGGUUUGAAGGGAGCUGUCCAGUCCACACUACAGAGCACGUGCUUAAGCCCUCAGCAGGACCCUCCGUCCCCCAAAUCAGCAACCAAAACAAUGAGGUUUCAUCUACAGGAAACAAAUCCAGGACCACCCCAUUUGAUUUUCAGGAUGAGCCCAAUGGCCGCCCCUUCGAACAGCCCAGGAGCUGUUCUGCUAGUUUUAAACCAAGACGUGAUUAGCGGAAAUGCCAAAUUUCAGAUAGAGGUUAGGGAAGAUACAGAUGUACUGUUUUGCCCGUCCCAGUUCACGGACCCUGUGCACCCUGUGAACGCAGGCUAAGAUCUCCUGGACUGCCACAGCCAGCCCAUGCUUUCCUCUAGACUUUGGAGUGUGGCAACGGGGACAGAGAAG